rnacentral:lncRNA from 1 species
CAGAACUUGACGGUGCGGUCCGCGCUGCCGGUGGCGACGAGGAGUUCGUUUGGGUGAAACUCGACGGAAGUGACGGGGCCGUCGUGCGCGGGCAGCUCUCUCAGCAGCCUACCCGCGGUGAGGUCCCACAGCUUGACGCGGCCGUCCUGGCCGCCCGAUAGGACCCACUUGCCGUCCGGGGAGAACUUGGCGACGCUCACCCCGCGGUCGUGGCCCUUGUAGGUGUGUAUGCACCCCUUACGCCGUAUGUCCCAGAUCUUCGUGUUGCAGUCCAGGGACCCGGACGCGAAGAACUCC